GAACUCGGCAAAAUGACCCCGUAACUUCGGGAGAAGGGGUGCUCUUUAGGGUUAACGCCCAGAAGAGCCGCAGUGAAUAGGCCCAAGCGACUGUUUAUCAAAAACACAGGUCUCUGCUAAACCGUAAGGUGAUGUAUAGGGGCUGACGCCUGCCCGGUGCUGGAAGGUUAAGAGGAGUGGUUAGCUUCUGCGAAGCUACGAAUCGAAGCCCCAGUAAACGGCGGCCGUAACUAUAACGGUCCUAAGGUAGCGAAAUUCCUUGUCGGGUAAGUUCCGACCCGCACGAAAGGCGUAACGAUUUGGGCACUGUCUCAACGAGAGACUCGGUGAAAUCAUAGUACCUGUGAAGAUGCAGGUUACCCGCGACAGGACGGAAAGACCCCG
rnacentral:rRNA from 1 species